CUCAAAGUUGGAACCUGUUUGGCCUAGCUAAACCGGAUUGUAAACUGUAGAAGUGUUUUCCAGGCAAGCCGGACCGAUAAGUCCUUUGGAACAGGGCAUCAUAGAGGGUGAGAAUCCCGUCUUCGGUCUGAGCAUUUGCCUUUUGCGAUACACUUUCAAAGAGUCAGGUUGUUUGGGAAUGCAGCCUAAAUUGGGUGGUAAAUCUCACCUAAAGCUAAAUAUUGGCGAGAAACCGAUAGCGAACAAGUACCGUGAGGGAAAGAUGAAAAGAACUUUGAAAAGAGAGUUAAACAGUAUGUGAAAUUGUUAAAAGGGAACCGUUUGGAGCCAGACUGGCUUGUCUGUAAUCAGUCUAAGUUUCGGCUUGGAUGCACUUGCAGGCUAUGCCUGCCAACGACAAUUUGGCUUGAGGGAAAAAACUAGGGGAAAUGUGGCCCAUUCGUGGGUGUUAUAGUCCCUUAGAAAAUACCUUGGGCUGGAUUGAGGUACGCAGCGAAUGCUAUUUGGCGAGUUGGCUGGGAAUAUUUUCUGAGGUGCUCUGGUACUGAGGUUGAUAUUCCUAGUUACACUUCUAUU
rnacentral:rRNA from 1 species